UGGGGAAUAUUGGACAAUGGGCGCAAGCCUGAUCCAGCCAUGCCGCGUGAGUGAUGAAGGCCUUAGGGUUGUAAAGCUCUUCAGCGGGGAAGAUAAUGACGGUACCCGCAGAAGAAGCCCCGGCUAACUUCGUGCCAGCAGCCGCGGUAAUACGAAGGGGGCUAGCGUUGUUCGGAUUUACUGGGCGUAGAGCGCGCGCAGGCGGAUGGGGAAGUCGGAAGUGAAAGUCCGGGGCUCAACUCCGGGUACGCUUCCGAUACUCUCUGUCUAGGGACCGGUAGAGGCCGGUGGAAUUCCCGGUGUAGCGGUGGAAUGCGUAGAGAUCGGGAAGAACACCAGUGGCGAAGGCGGCCGGCUGGGCCGGAGAUCCGCAGAGGAUCGAUCCGACGCUGAGGCGCGAAAGCGUGGGGAGCAAACAGGAUUAGAUACC
rnacentral:rRNA from 1 species